rnacentral:lncRNA from 1 species
CUUGUCUUCCCGAGUAGCUGCUCCAUUCCCGGCAUAGAGGAUCAGGAGAGGGGACGCCACCUGCCACACGCUGGAUGCUGGGGUCCGCACGACUGCGGCUUGUGUCGCUGUGGUUGGUGGUGGUGAUGGAAACUGCAGCGUGGCUGGAGUGAAGAGAAACUGUCUUUAAAAUCUGUCUGCCUGGAUAAACUCAAAGGAGCCUUUACAGAAAGCACAUUCACACAGACUGGCUAAUGAGACCCCACACUGAAGAAGCCUAGAACUUCCACAGACUCCCUGAAAUCUAAGUCCUCAUUUUUAACAUACAGCUUUUAAUACUAGCUUCAGAAGUCCCGGAUCCCUGCAAAGUUAAUAGAGUUCCCUGGCCCCUUCUAUGUUGAGACAUGGUGAAAAGGCAGCCUCUAUCAACCAGAAAGCAGACUCUUUUCAGCCA